rnacentral:rRNA from 1 species
GGCCAGACUCCUACGGGAGGCAGCAGUGGGGAAUAUUGCACAAUGGGGGAAACCCUGAUGCAGCGACGCCGCGUGAGUGAAGAAGUAUUUCGGUAUGUAAAGCUCUAUCAGCAGGGAAGAAAAUGACGGUACCUGACUAAGAAGCCCCGGCUAACUACGUGCCAGCAGCCGCGGUAAUACGUAGGGGGCAAGCGUUAUCCGGAUUUACUGGGUGUAAAGGGAGCGUAGACGGCAUGGCAAGUCAGAUGUGAAAGCCCGGGGCUCAACCCCGGGACUGCAUUUGAAACUGUCAGGCUGGAGUGCAGGAGAGGUAAGUGGAAUUCCUAGUGUAGCGGUGAAAUGCGUAGAUAUUAGGAGGAACACCAGUGGCGAAGGCGGCUUACUGGACUGUAACUGACGUUGAGGCUCGAAAGCGUGGGGAGCAAACAGGAUUAGAUACCCCGGUAUA